UACGUAGGGUGCGAGCGUUGUCCGGAAUUAUUGGGCGUAAAGAGCUUGUAGGCGGUCUGUCGCGUCUGCUGUGAAAAUCCGGGGCUCAACCCCGGACUUGCAGUGGGUACGGGCAGACUAGAGUGUGGUAGGGGGAGACUGGAAUUCCUGGUGUAGCGGUGAAAUGCGCAGAUAUCAGGAGGAACACCGAUGGCGAAGGCAGGUCUCUGGGCCAUUACUG
rnacentral:rRNA from 1 species